UACAGGCUGACACACAAACUGGUAUUAAAUUAUUAUUUAGAAUAAUUUACAUUUUUUUGGUUGGUAUGAGAUAUUAUUUUUUGUUUUUUCUUAUCAAAUGGCUCUUUAUUGUUUGCACGAUUUUUUGUUGAGUAGUUAUUUUACGGCUAUAUAUAACGAUACAAUUUAUCGGUGUAGUACACAAGUUCACGUUGAACCAAUAUCUCAAAAAUUUUCAGUGAAAAUUGUAUGAAAAAACUUAUCAAAUAUAUAGUUUAAUUCCGGGUUUCAUGAAUAAUUUGUAAAAACAGUCCGACAACCUGUGUUAUCGUAUCAAUAAACAAAUGAACAAAUAACUUUAAGCCGAGU